AUACUUUCCUGGCAGGGGAGAUAUGAAAACAAACGUAGUUUUCCCCAGGCAAGGCUAAUCCAUUGCACUCUGGAUUUGCUGACCCCUGCAAUUUCCCCAAAUGUGGAAAACCCAGCUUCAAAAUUUGUGGUAGUGAUGGACAGAAUUCUUGUUUUUUUGC